GGAAGGGGCCUCUGGGUGGCAGCUCUGGGCUAUUGGGUGUUGGACAACUAUAGGCAAAACUGAAAUGGAACAGGGGCAGAAAAUAGCACACUUUUACGCUACGCAACCGUGGCUUUCGCAUGAUCUUCAAGAAUUUUACUGGGAUAAUUAUCCAAGUGAAACUCCAAGAAUUCUAUCCAAAUGGUGGAGGCACCAAGAAGAGGGAUUAGCAACUUGUCCAAGGUCACACAGCCAAUAAAUGGUCUUGCUUUCUUAGGAAUGUCACAAUUUGGUCCCAGAAUCCCACGAUUUUCACAGCUUUGGACUUUCU